AAACUCAAAACUUAGGACUGCAUUAUCAUGCAUUUGUGAUAUAUGUGGCUAAAGUCUAAGGCAUAAAUCUGAUUCACAAAACAAACACAACUUUCUUAGGUAUGUCUGUUUAGAUUUAGAAUUGAACACCAAAUAAUUUUGUUCUCAAUGCUAAAAUAGAAAGAAAAAAAAGAAUAAAGUUGUACAUUUGUGACAAGCAAAACACUUCUAUCCAACAGU
rnacentral:lncRNA from 1 species